GUGACCUUCCGCACUGUUUGUAGCAUUCGGCCCUCCGUAAACGUUAGCCACAGUCUUUGCCGGUGUCCUUGGGUGCUUACCGUAUGCCCGGAACAGUUCUGAGCAACUUGCACGAUUGUCACCGGACGGAGAUUAACGCCUCGCUCGCCUCCGAUGCAAAACUUGAGGAGGCGCCCACAGAUGCAGCCAAAGAGAUCUCAGCUUACGCAUCACCUCCUCCAGGAAGCCUGAGGCUCCAGCCCAGCUCAGGGGCCUCUUCUGAGCUCCUCCAUCACAGCUCUGACACUAACCUGUGAGUGCUGAGAGGGAGAGGAUGAGCGUGUUUUGGGCCCGGUAUCUGAAAUAGGACCUGGCACACAGCAGUUGCCCGCUCAGGGAAGAAGCGAUGAAGGGCAGAGGAGGCCAAGGAAAGAUGAACAAAGCCACCGCGUUCCAGGCCGGCCGGGCAGAAUGGGAGAUUUUCAGGCGGAUUGUGGAAUUCAGCGGGUUGAAUGGAGGCCGCUUCGAGCGAGGAUUCUAGCAGCUCAGAUCACAAAGGCGGCCGAGCGGGGCCUCCUCGGCAAAGCUGCCAACACCUGCUCCCUUUUCAGCGCCACAAUAGGGAAGUUAAGCUUCAGCCACGGCCUCCUGCAUCCCGAAGGGACCUAGCCCGUGGGGCUCAGCUGCCCUGGGAGCUGCAGGGACGUGAGGAGGACAGCAGAGGGGUCUCUCGACGGCUCCCUGGCCCCCACCCACUUGGUGCCAGGAGCACCCGCAGUUGUGACAACCACAGAUGUAUCUGUGAUAACGCCCGGUUGAUCUCGGGCGGCCUCGGCCUACAGCAGCUUGAAGCAGGGUUUUGGUUUCUGGCCGGUGACAGGUCACAGCGGUGAGAGCACCGAAUCCUAGCCACUAGACCAGUGGUCGGUGACGAGGCCCUGGCGCUAUGGCUUUGCAGA